GUACACACCCCACGUCGACGUGACAACCCUGGAACCAACUACACAAACAAAAACCCCAUCAGAAAACCGCGUACUUUUAUCCAAAUCCGACAACGUCGCGCCCCGCCACAGCCCUCUGGAUAUAGUCGCGACCCACCCUUCUAGUGCGCCGACGCGCCGCCCUUACGACGACCGUGUAAAGAAGUCGAGUGAAGAACCGCUCCCAUUUCGUGUUCGCGCGCCGCCCGCAGCAGUCGCAGCCGCCCCCGACCGACCGCCCUCACACCGUCGACACGUCGAGAGAGCGACGAGAAAGAGCGACCGCACACGAUGCGCCGGCCAGGGGCGGGGCGACCCGUAGUCGCCCUCACCUGACAGUCCGCGAUGCCGCGAGUGCCGCCCUUCCACGGGUGCUGAAACGUUUGUUUUGGAUACGCGAACCAAAAAAAAACGAGUGUUGAGGCACGAUAAUCAGCUGCAAUGGCGCUAAAACGGUCUUGGAGGGGUGCAGAUUAAGGGUGUUCCGGAGGUUCGGGCCUAUCGUUUAACCCCAGCCCUCGCCCCCGACUCAGACGAUAUGGACACAGUAUGGCCUCAGACAGCUGGCACACUUCGAAGGAAAGAGUCGUACUGUCGAUUUUUUAUCUGCUCUCCGUUUUCUUCCAGUUCAACAUUGGUUGUCAUCAGACCUUCGUGAGUCGUCCUGGUGGCCCUAUGAACGGCACCUUCAACGGCCCCGAGUUUAUAAAUCUGCACGGGCUCACCGUCAGUUGCGUCUACACGUUCUUGGGCGGACCGGGCCAGAGGGUGCAGAUCACCUUCGACACUUUCAGGUUGAGGGGCACACCACCAGAUGGAGCUGCAGUCGGGGACCUCCCUACAUGUGUGCACGAAUAUAUGGACAUCUAUUCAGAGGUGACCCAGCCGGACCUGGGGUCGUUGGUGGACUCCCCCUUUGGGGGAAGGUUCUGCGGACCCAUCACCCCCCGCACCAGGGUGUCCCUCUAUCGCGCCCUCGCGUUCUCCUUCCAUUCGGACAAAAAUUCUUCGGUUCCGGAUCUGUUUGCUGGCCGAUAUGCCUUUAUCAACGACUCGGAUUUUGAGGUGGGCGCACCGACGGGCGCAGGCCCUUGUAACUAUUUAGUAAAGGGCGCGGUCCGACAUACGGGUAACAUAGUCUCACCUACCUACCCGGGCGCCUAUCCGAAGAACCUGAACUGCACCUAUCAAUUCCUAGGAGCACCCGGCGAACGGAUUCGGCUCGAGUUUCGGGAUUUCGAUUUGUUUUAUGGGGGACAACAUUGUCCAUUUGAUUUCGUCCGGAUUUACGACGGCCCGGAUAAUUCGUCGGCGAUAAUCGGCACUUAUUGUGGUCAACAGCGCAACCUGGUGAUCUACUCGUCGGAGUCCACCCUUUAUGUCACUUUCGUUACCCUACGACGCACUGCCACCACCCAGAAUCGCGGAUUCAAGGGGAUUUUUGAGUUUUCCAACUCGUUUACUAAACUAGAUUUUAUAAGUAAAAACGACGGCGAACACAUACGAGGGACCGAAUGCGACCAGCGGAUAUUCAGUAAAAAAGAGUCGAACGGGUUCGUCUACAGUCCCAACUAUCCGUUCCCGUACAUGCCUAAACUGGUCUGUAGAUAUUUUAUUUAUGGCAUGCAAAACGCUCAAUACUUGGAACGAGUUAGGCUGGAGUUCGUUAUGUUCGAGAUUCCUAAGGGGGCGAAAGAUUGCUCAGAUGGUUACUUAAAGGUGUAUUUAAAGGGGCAAGAGACCAUAGACGCCUACGACAAGUUCGAUCAUGAACUGUGUGGUGAGGAGGCGCAGCCUGCAGUCAUGGUAUCCGAUGGCCCCAGGUUACUUAUGGUGUUUAGCUCCGGCGAAUUGAUGGGAAGAGGGUUUAAGGCCAAUUACACCUUUGAGACUGAAUAUCGGAUUCCCGGCACGGCAGCCCCAGAUGGUUCCUGUUCGUUCACUUACCGGAGCACGUCCAGAAAAAAGGGCGAAUUCAACUCUCCCCGUUACCCGACGAACUACCCCAGUGAAACGAACUGCACUUACCAUUUCCUGGCGACCGAUAACGAGCAGGUCACUUUGGUCUUUGACAAUUUUAAAAUUAAAGCGGAUAGCGUGAACUCGAGCUUGGGAGCAUACGGGCCGGAAAUUUGUCAGGAGGACUGGAUAGAGAUCUACAACGUGUAUCGGGACGGUACCGAGACGAUAAUUGGCCGUUAUUGUCACGUGUCCGCUCCCGGUCCAAUAGAAUCCAAUCGGGGAGCGGUAGGACUCAAAGUACUGUUGCACUCGGAUAAAGCGAACGUGGCGAGCGGAUUUAAGGCCCGAUACAGUUUCGAGGUGGCCAAGUCGAUUUUUGGUGAUUGUGGAGCUAAUAUAAGUAGCACGGACAGCGGUCAAAUUCUGAGUCCGAACUUUCCUAAGAACUACGACGCCCCGAAACUGAACCAGGCGUCGAAAAGUUGUAACUGGUACAUCAACGUGAAGCCGCAGCACCGAGUCCUGAUCAUUUUCGAUAAGUUUGCGAUAGAGGGCGAACCAAGCGGUCGUGGAUGUCCUGCAGCCGUCUUACGACUGUGGACGGACAUCGCCGCACCAGGCAAAGAAAUCUGCGGAGAAAAGGCGUUAGGUGACAAAUGGCAAUACAUUUCUACUUCAAACCAAAUGAGGUUAAGCUUUAUCACUGCCGACAAAGCCGUAGGCUAUUCGGGUUUCAAGGCCUACUGGACGGAGGUGUUGGAUGGUCCGUCCUGCGACGAAUUCCAGUGCGCAAAAUCGUUUUUCUGCAUCCCGUUCCACCUCAAGUGCAAUAACGUGCCAAACUGCGGGGUCGACGACGAUUCCGACGAGAAAGAUUGUGGCGCGGCGUCGCGGCAGCAGGUCGACUUAGAUGAGGGGGCGUCCCGUGCAUGCGAGCGGCGGCGCUCCACGUGUCCGGGCGCCGCCCCACAAGCACUGACGCUGGCGACGCUUCUCCUUCUACUACCACUACUGCUACAACUGUCUCACUAGUUGACCGCACCCCCCUACUCUCUGACCUACCCUAAAAAACAAACAAACAAAAAAACCCUUAAUCCUACGUUUUUUUUCCACGUUUUCCAAUUGAAGAAACUCAAACGCCCUUUCGAUUGUCCUGGGUGGUUAUUAUGGGCGCCAUUUUGUUAGGUCUCAUCUGUUUCUGCGUCAUC
rnacentral:misc_RNA from 1 species